rnacentral:rRNA from 1 species
UACGUAGGGUGCGAGCGUUAAUCGGAAUUACUGGGCGUAAAGCGUGCGCAGGCGGUUCGUUAAGUCAGAUGUGAAAGCCCCGGGCUCAACCUGGGAACUGCAUUUGAAACUGGCGGGCUUGAGUAUGGCAGAGGGGGGUGGAAUUCCGCGUGUAGCAGUGAAAUGCGUAGAGAUGUGGAGGAACACCGAUGGCGAAGGCAGCCCCCUGGGUCGACACUGACGCUCAUGCACGAAAGCGUGGGGAGCAAACAGG